GUGCCAGCAGCCGCGGUAAGACAGAGGUGCCAAGCGUUAGGCGGAAUCACUGGGCUUAAAGCGUGUGUAGGCGGACUUCUAAGUACCUUGUGAAAUCCCACGGCUCAACCGUGGAACUGCUCGGUAUACUGGUUGUCUUGAGCCACUUAGGGGCUACCGGAACAAAUGGUGGAGCGGUGAAAUGCGUAGAUAUCAUUUGGAACGCCAAUGGUGAAAACAGGUAGCUGGGAGUGUGCUGACGCUGAGACACGAAAGCCAGGGGAGCGAACGGGAUUAGAUACCCGCGUAGUCC
rnacentral:rRNA from 1 species